rnacentral:tRNA from 1 species
GCUGGUGUACUCAAGUGGUCAACGAGGACGGUCUGUAAAACCGUUGCCGCAAGGCUACGUAGGUUCGAACCCUACCGCCAGCA